UGAAACUAGUUAUUUAUCUAUCCAUCCAUUUUCUGGGAGCCUAGAGCCUAUCCCUGGGUACUUGGGGGCACAAGGCAGGCAACACCCUGGACGGGGUACCAUUCACACACUUUGGACAAUUUGGAAAUGCCAAUCAACCUACAACGCAGGACUUUGUACUGGGGGAGGAAACCAGAGUACCUAGAGGAAACCCCCAAAGCACAGGGAGAACAUGCAAACUCUGCGCACAUUCGAACUCCCAACCCCGGAGGUGCGAAGUAAACAUGCUCACCACAAAGCCACCGUGCACCCUAGUUAUUUAUAUAUGCAUGCUUGGUAAAGGUUUGCUCAUCUUUUAUCCAUCGCUGUAUCUAUUUCUGGCCAAUGAUUGAAAUAGUGUUAUGAGAAUGUUUUGAGUCCUACAUGACCCUCAGCCAACAUUUCAUUUUGUUGCUUUGUGCUCUGUUUACAUGCAGUGACAAACUAACCCAAACCAAAUAGUACACAAACCCGAUUUAAGCUCGGAUUUGGACUGAGGACUAAAACUCUUAAUCUCAUUUAGACUUGCAGCAAAUUUAAUAUGAGUAACAUUAUUUUUUUUCCAGCAGUUUCACCUUUUGUGAUUUAUAUCCCUUUAUUUCUGUCCCCCCAAUCAACCAAAGCCAUUUGUUAUUAGUCUUGGGCUUUACAACAAAAAAAAAAGUAUUUGUCUCUCCUGUGUGAAACGUUUUAGGGGUUAACACAGUUAGUAAGGAGGAUCACUGCACCCUUGGGAGCAGAUGAUGUGAUUGAUUAUUCAUUGGCCUGAGCAUGGCCUAUGGAGACAGGAUUAGUUAAGUAAUCUAAUAUGGUGCUGUAGUAGGCCAGUCUGUCGGUCCAUUAGAGGCCAGAUGCUUGAUUACGUGCCGUGAACUAGGCUGGCCUGAGGAUCAUUACCGAACUGGUCCAGUGCCACGUACAGCUUAGGAAAAAAACAAUCGGCUUUUAACUCCCGGCGUCAAAAGCCAAGACAGGCACUCGCGCAUGUGUUUAUUGUGGAACAGUUGGGUUUACUUUCAUGCUGAGGUUAGUGAUCUCAGUCUUAUGGUGCAUGAACGUUCUGUGAAAUGUAGACCAAAUGCAACCACAAAUCCUCGGAGAAGCAUUCGCACCAGAGACGAACUGACAGCGCGCACACACACACACACACACACACACACACACACUCUCUACUUUUCUCAUUUACUUAUGCUGUAGUGUGUUUACUCGGUCGGCAUAGCUACAGAACUUCAUAGAACGAUGCUAUUGUAGACCCAGACCUCUCCAAUCUAACACGCCAGUGCCUCUGAGAUUAAAGACACGAACCAGAGGAAUAAUGAUGGAGAAAAAGAUACCUGUGGGACAAUUCAGAUCAGGAGAAUAUUCCAUAUUCACUGUAAGCCAGCUCUAAAUCGCUCUACAAUCGACUCUCGUCGGUGACUGGACACUUUUAAUGAGAGGAGCGAUUCGCUUGCUAGAGAGAGAGAGAGAACAGGAAAGAAGGAAAGCUGAUAACUCUGGAAAAUUACAUUCAGGGUGAAUGUUGUAUAUUUGGCUUUCUCCUAAAAAUACUUUCACAUCGAGCGAGAGCUGCGUUAAAGCGUUUCCUUCCUGGAUAAUCAGUUCACAGGCUGCAAUCCAGUGAGCAGGAACAUCAGCUUUGUUUUAGCUUCAGCACAAGAAUGUUUUCGAAAGGGUGACCGCUCUAAACAUUUAGCUUAUAAGGUUCAUUAGAUUGUCGGCAGUGAAACGUGUGCUGUUGAGUUUAAAUAUACUGAUUGUUUACUGUUUGGUUGUCAUUCAAAUCACAUGUUCAUUAUUCAUAUUAAUGCGCUUGUUGUGGUCUGUUUUCGUUUCUGUAGUAACCACCUAUAUGGGGACUUGUUCGGUGGACAUUCCACAUAUUCUACUAGUCGGUAUACGGAUUAAAAAGCGCUGGUAUUUAACAACGUGUAGGCAUUGAUGUGGUGACGCUUUCUGUAAGAAAAUGUUGAUUUAACAUUUGUGGUUUUUGGAAGGAGUCUCCAGUGUCGGAGCUUAGCAACUGUGAUGUUUUCCACCACAGGAAAGUUCAGGACAGACGAUGUUGCGUUUUUGCAGUUUCC
ensembl:lncRNA